AUACAAUCAAGUCAUUUUGGCAAAAUAUUUAAUAAAUUUUUAUGACAGGGAAUAUAGUCUUUAAUUUUCAUGCUACUGAAUAACUAGAGAGAAAAAUCAAAUAAGAGCUUGUUUACAUGAAAAAUUAGAAGAGCUAUUUCACUUUAAAAGCAUGUCCUUCCUUAAGCCUAAAUAACUCUCAAAAAGGCCUAAUCUAGGGAUUGAGUAAAACAAUGAACUUAUGCCUGUGUAACUUGGUUUAUACUCAGGACCUAAAAUAAGUGCCUCCAUUUGUUUUAUCCAUUUUAAUCAAAUGCUAUUAGAAAUACGGGAUUUUCUAGGCAUAUGCUCCCACCCAUGUGCAGGCCCAUCUCAUCAACAUUUUGUCAGUCCUAUCCUAACACACUGUGCCUAUCUAUAUAUGUGUGAGUACACACACAGCACCUCCUAUUGCCUCAGAUGCCUGCUGUGCACUUUAUGUAUCUGACUGCUGCUAGAUAUGGGGCACCAUGCUGUGGCAACUAAUGAAUUUUUUCCUGGUCGAGGGAUUGUGGGGUCUUCUACAGCAGCAGGUUUUGUGCUAACCUAGGUUAUGCUAAUGCCAUACAAAACUUCAUGAAAGACUCGGUCACUGUAUUUCAAGUAUUUCAAAAAUUCCCCGGAAUACCUUUGCACAUUUUUCCUCCCUUUAAUGUAUUUAAAUUUCUGUCCUGAAUGAUUCAAGAGCAACCUCUGAAUUCAAUUGUAUCCUUUCAAUUGAUUCCCAGUAUAUUUCCAACCCUGCUUGAGGUCAAGUUCAAAUAAUGGGCCAACAACAACCUUAUGAAAUUCAACAAGGACAAAUGCAAUGUGGUUCUCCUGGGAAGAAGAAAUCCUUGCAACAAGGGAGCCCGUUUGCUGUUUCUUCUGCAAUCCAGAAGCCUCCAUCAACCCAUGGUUGUUCUUGAGAUAUCUCACUAUCUCAGGGAGAACCCCUGUUGCUAUUUAAGUCAUCUUCUUGUUGAACAUGCAGAUGAUAUAUCUGAACGUGAGACUCUUCUAUUUCUCACUGCAAGAAAGAAGCUGUGAUGAUGGACACAACGGACACAGCCUGUGUGUUUCUGCAGGCACAGCAUGCCUGGGAA
rnacentral:lncRNA from 13 species